rnacentral:misc_RNA from 1 species
ACCGGCGAGUACAGAGGCUUUGGGGACUUGUCCCCCUUUCCCUCGGCGCCGCCCCCGAAAUGAAUUGGCGGUCUCGUCGCGGCCUCCUCUGCGUAGUAGCACAACCUCGCAUCAGGAGCGCGGCGCGGCCACUGCCGUAAAACGCCCAACUUUUUUUUAAGAGUUGACCUCGAAUCAGGUAGGAA